rnacentral:rRNA from 1 species
GGGAAACUGCCUGAUGGAGGGGGAUAACUACUGGAAACGGUAGCUAAUACCGCAUAACCUCGCAAGAGCAAAGAGGGGGACCUUCGGGCCUCUCGCCAUCAGAUGUGCCCAGAUGGGAUUAGCUAGUAGGUGAGGUAAUGGCUCACCUAGGCGACGAUCCCUAGCUGGUCUGAGAGGAUGACCAGCCACACUGGAACUGAGACACGGUCCAGACUCCUACGGGAGGCAGCAGUGGGGAAUAUUGCACAAUGGGCGCAAGCCUGAUGCAGCCAUGCCGCGUGUGUGAAGAAGGCCUUCGGGUUGUAAAGCACUUUCAGCGAGGAGGAAGGCGAUAAGGUUAAUAACCUUAUCGAUUGACGUUACUCGCAGAAGAAGCACCGGCUAACUCCGUGCCAGCAGCCGCGGUAAUACGGAGGGUGCAAGCGUUAAUCGGAAUGACUGGGCGUAAAGCGCACGCAGGCGGUCUGUUAAGUUGGGUGUGAAAUCCCCGGGCUUAACCUGGGAACUGCAUUCAAAACUGACAGGCUAGAGUCUUGUAGAGGGGGGUAGAAUUCCAGGU